AGCCUGGCUCUGUGUUCCUGCACCAGCUUUCUCCAAGUGGCACAGCAGGGCACGAUGGACUCUCGUGUCCUCCGUCACGUGGCCAAGACCACUCAAAGCCAGGUCCUUCUUGAUUUGCCCCGACUGGGUAUGACCUUUCUCUUCUGAACCUUCUGUCUGUAUUCGUUCCUCUUUAAUGGAACCAGUUUCUUCCUGUCAAGGCUGGCUACAUAUUUCUCAGGACCCAGUACUCAAAGAUUGGGCCUUGUUCAACAGCAGCCAGAAAGCACCAUUAAAGCAGACUGCACUUCCAGAACACCAGAGGAAAGAGAAAACGAUUUCAAAAUGCUGCCAGCGGAGCAUGAAGCCAGCCUGGGCUCUUCAGAGCAUGAGCCCCAAGUGGCACCGCAGAUUGCACACCCAGGACGCAGCCUCCUCCCUGCUUUGUUUUCCUGUUGCUUGAGACACGGCUUCCCUCUGCCCCCAGACUGCGAGCUCAUUCAGGAAGGAGCCUGAGCCUCUCCGGUGUCUUACAUAAGCCCAAACAGCCCAAGACAACGUUCAAGCCAGAUUUCAGCCCUUCUUCAACAACCGCUUUAAAAAGCAGGGGUGGCUAAGUUAUAAUGGCCCACGUUUCUCUUUGGGGGAUACGGGAGUCCAUGUGAAAAGCCAUGAUUUUCAGAUUCCACACAUGAGAGGGAAACAUCCUCCCUUUCAGCAGAGGGGAGCGCUGUUCUCGAAAGCACAUUCGUACAAGUGGACGACCCAGAGCCACUGGACCUGAAGUAUCCCAAUGUCUCUGGCGGGAAUUCAUUCAUUUAUCCCUUUACUCCACAAAUGAGUAUGUAGUCAGUGCCUACUAUGUGUACCGGGGCACAUGAGUGUAGAAAACGGGCUCACAGAGCAUUUUCCAGGGAAGGGACAGACAACAGACAAAACACUUAAGUACGAAGAGAAGACAGUGUGAAGAAACCUGGAACAGAGGGGCUGGGACGCUGGGGGCGCAAGGUGCACGUCUCAGUCGCUGAUUGGAGAAGCCCUCUCAUAAAGACGGCGUUUGAGCAAGGGCUUGAACGAGGUGGGGUGAGCCCCGGCGCUGCUCAGGGGGAGAACGUUCCAGGCACACGUCGAUGCUCACACAGUGUCCGGUGGGUGUUAUCGGGCCUCCUGGAAAGGGAGGCCAGGUGGGCUUCCAACCAAUGCGCUGCUGGCUUCCAGGUUCCCGCCACCCCUUGUCACGACACUAACCUUGCCUGACUCGGCAUGAUGUGGGGGGAGCACCUCCCACACACCAGGCUGGAAUUCCACAGCUGAGACACUUCUGGGGACUUGUGGGUGUUUCUGGGGGGUUUCGCGUGGCUUCCGUAACAGAACACCAGAAACAGGGGGUCUUGAACGACAGAAAUUUACUGUCUCCCAGUUUGGGGACCCCGAAGUCCAAAAUCAAGGGGUUGGUGCAGCCGUGCUCCCUCCAAAGGCUCCAGGAGAGGAUCUUUCUAUGCUGGUGGCUCCAGGCUGUUCUUGGCUUGCAGACGCAUCCACGUCAAUCUCUGCCUCCAUUUCCACGUGGUCGUCCCCUCCUCUGAGUUCUCUCCCUUGAAGGACACCAGUCGUGUUGGGUCAGGGCCCAUCCUAAUGACUUCAUCCUAAUUUGAUGACACCUGCAAGGACCCUACUUCCAAAUCAGGUCACCUUCACAACUACCAGGGCGUUAGGACUUCAGCUUGUCUUUCGGGAAAACACAACUUAACAAGCAGUGGAGGAAAGAUAAUUAUUCUGUUGACCCACACAGAGAUCAUAUCAUUCUGGUGGUUCAUACACUUGGUCGCAUGAAGACAGGCCGCCUAUAUGUACCAGCUGGAGGUGAGACUGUCAAAGUGUCUUUCUUGUCACUCGGGGCUGUGCAGACACAGGUGCUCUGGUUGGGAGCGGCAUUGCCCAUUAAUUACUGGCUGCCGUGAUUUCUGUGGGGAGAUAAUUACUCGGUUUUGUUCACUCCGGCACAGGAAGAAUAUGCUCCCAUCCAAGCUGGGUACCACCACGGUCUCCUGGGUAACCCGGGAUGUCUCCUGGCUUCUGGUGUCUCAUUUCUGGUUUCCAAUUUUCUAAUGCUUUUGGUCGGCAAUUCCCUGUGGUCGAAUCCUUCCGGCUUCGUCUUUAUUAAAAGUCUUUAGAUGUUGAAUUUAAUCUCAUUUUGGUAUUCAUGGGGAACAUACUCAGAGUUUUGCUUGGUUUUGUUUUUCCAAAGAACUAAGAAAAUUAACUGCUAUGAACAACUGUGUUGCUCUUGUCCCUCAACGAACAUUCCUUGUAUACCUGUACCCAGAAGCCUCUGGGUUUUGUGUUUUUUUGAAACAAUAACCAAAGAACAAUAAAUUUCCACUUGGGGUUGCUGUCUUGGACAGAUGGCUCAGCACUUUCUCAUUUAGCAAAAGAACAAUGACAUGGGAUUUUUUUCCCCCUUUCCUACCAAAGCUUGCUGUCUUUAUAUUUAAUUAACUAUUCUGCUUUUAGACAGUAAAUCAAGCAACAAAUCCCCUGGUCAUUAAAGGUGAGUGCAAAGCCUUGUGGGUAAAAACCUGUGCCUCAAAUUUCACUGAGCUGCUAAAUCCAAACUUGGGCUUAAUGAAAAGAGCAAAGACCAGGAGGCAAGAGAUGUGAAUUGCCAUACUGACUCUACCAUUUAAUCACUGGGUGACCUUGGGGGAGCCCUGUCACUUCUCUGGGUCCUCCUUCCCCUGCAAAAUCGGGAUCAUGCUACCUGCUCUCUGCUUAAUUCACAGAGUUGUUGGGGGAAAAGACAGUGAGGAAAUUAAUGUAAAGCCACCUUGGAAAAGAUAAGGCGCUCUAACAAGAGUAUUUUAUUUUAGCCCUAUACAUCUCCCCUGAACUCAUUAGCCGCCGAGUCAAGGGCACAGAUGCCAAACCAGGCCAGAAAUUAUCCCGUGAUGACUCCUGAAGAUCACGAAACAUAUUUCCUUGUGUCUCCAGCAUGACCUUCAAAAGUUUGCCCCGUAACUAAGCACCAGAGGAUUCUACAGAGCCACGCCCUUGCUUGGGUAGGCUUAUGGGCCAUGACAAGAAAGUCUCGAUGUAGUUGUUAUAUUUUAAAAAGACAACCCCUCUUAGCCAGGAUGAUCAAACAUCCUUCCAAACGCCAAGGCUCCGGAUGGAAUAAAUGCAAGCGGGGGCCAGGUCGAAGACGCUGCCAUGACUGGGGACGGUGCACUAGAAAGCGUGAAAGCACUCAUCCGAAAUAUGCAUCCCUAGGCUACGGCUCUUGGUCUUGCGGGAUACGUUUGAGAAGCUGACCUACUCCCUCAUUGCACAGAGCCCCUGCAUUAUUAGACCUGCCCAGGGCCCUGGGGGGACCCAGAGGCAGAGAGAACACUUCCUUUCCCCCACAGGAAGGGGGGCAGAAACAUCAGCCGCUGGGGCCUGGCAGCCGGUCGCAGUGUUUACUGAGAAGGAGGAAGGGGACAAACGCAUCCUGAUGUCAUAGGGAUUUGGAGCUGGAAGGUGCCACGGGGAUUAGCCAUCGAGCUCACCGACCUGCCAACUGUUUGCUUUUAUGGGGGUGCCAUUUCUUUUGGUUGAUGCUCUUUUUCCCCUCAAAUGAAAUCUUAUGCGGAGGGUACGUUUGGAAAGAGAUCCAGGCUGGCCGCCCAGGUGGAAGUUGGGAGGGCUGUCUCUCUCCCCUGCACAGAUGAGGAAGAGAGGCUCAGGGACAAGAUGGGUCUUUCUCGGGUCGCGCAGUUAACAGCGGACUUGACACUAACCCCAGGUCCAUGAACUCUCUGUCCAGUGCUCUUCGAACCUACCGCAGUGGGCAUGUGGAAUACACAAGACACAACUCCCCUGUGUUCUCUGGCCCAUCACCAACCGGCUAUCUGCUGAGACACAGACUUUCUGUCUUCAUUUUCUUCCAUUCUAAGCUACUAAUCACCUACCAGCUGCCAUGCCAACAGAUGAAAAGUAUCUCAUAUUUUUAUGGUUUCUAUAGUAUGCAAGCACUAAUGCAGAAUACCCAACAGCACCACUUUGGUGACAAGAGACACAAAUUCACAAGGGCUUCAGCAAGGAAAGAUCAUCUGAUGGCUUGUGUACCUGUACCAUCUAGGGACUCAAUCUACAAUUUCAGGGCCCCGUGUCUCUUUUCCUCCACCCCUCUCCCCCCAUCUCCUCAUCUCCCCUCUCUAUCUUUUUUUCUCUCUCUCUCUCUCCAUCUGUCUUCUCCAUUCCCUUCAUUUCAUUUUGUGCCCAGACACUUACCUCAUGGUGGCAUAGUGGCUGCCAACACUCCAGGCUUCCAUCUCCACGGCUCCAGGAAGAGAGGUUCCAUCCUCCAAGUGAUUCCUACAGAAACCCUGGGCCCAACUUGAUUGGCACAAACCUGACCAUCUUCCCAUCCCUGGGCCAACUUCUGUGGCCAACGGGACUGGAAAUGCUGUCCCCCAUGUGUGGGACAUUCCCAUGCCAUCCCCUGGCACUGGGGUGAGGCUGGCUCCAGCCAGAGCACACGGAGGUCAAGUGGAGGGAGGUUGGCUCCCAGGGGGUGUGAUUUUACUGCUACGACGAAAAGCAAAGGCAAAGUCGAACAGGCAAACGGUGUUACAUAUUACAAUCUAUCUUCUGUGCUAAAUUCUUAAGAAAAUGUCAGGAUAUCAGAGAGAUCAUUUAUUUAAAGAAAACGGAAAUGCAAUGUUUAAUUUUCAAUGUAAUCCUUCAAAGAAUUAAAUAAGAAUCAAAAAGCCAAAUUCCAGAGAUGUUCAUAAUCACGCUAUUUAAAUAGUAAAACAACGGUCCUACCAUGGCUGGACAUUUAGUUAAGUAAAUCAUGGCACAUCCUGCUAAUGCAACAUUAUGCGGCUUUUAAAGUGAUAAUUAUGAGCCUAGCGAUGGGGAAAAUGCCUCUGAGAGAAAGUAAAGUGAAACCAUAAAGCGAAUCGUAUCUCCACUGCGUUACACAACUACCAAAAUACUCGAUGCUUGGGCGAACACUGGAAGGGGAUAUACAAAAAUGAGGAAACUUCGUUUGUUGGCCUGGCAAGCUGGUGGAUGAUCUGGCAUGUUCUCAGUAGCUCCGACAAGAAAAACAUCUCCGAUGAAUGAAUCCAGUAUGAAGGAACCCUUCUUCUGGCUGGCGAGCUUGCCAGGAGGGCUCUGGCAGGCUCCACCCAGACCCUGUUCUCUCCCCACCAGAGCUCCCCUCUCUAUCACCAGAAGGAGAAGCUGGGGCCCGGCACCAUGCGUUAGCAUGAAGGCAGGUAGGUCUGGAGGCCAGCCUCAAAAAAUGAGGUGUCCUUGUAAGUGGGUAGAACGUGACUGUGGGAUGUGUGCUGGGUUGUGGAGUGUCCCCCCAUUCGUACCCUUCCCAGAACCUCAGACUGUGACCAUGUUUGGAAAUACAGUCAUUGCAGAGGUAACCACGUAGGAUGAGGUCCUGCUGGGGUAGGGUGGGCCCUUAAUCCAAGAUGCCUGGUGUCCUCAUGACCAAGAGAUGCAGACGUGCAGGAAAGAAGCCCAUGGGAUGACAGAGGCAGAGACGGAAGGGACACAUCUGUAAGCCAAAGGAUGCUAGCUGCCACCAGAAGCUGGAAGUUGCAUGGAAGGAUUCAUUCUUGCAAAUUCCCGGGAAGCAGGACCCUGCCGACGCUUUGAUUUCUGACUUCCAGAACCGGGAGACAAUAAAUUUCUGUUGCUUUAAGCACCCCCCCCCCCGGCCCUCCCCCUGCCGCCAUCCGUGGUUUUCUUAGUGGCCCCAUGACACUAAAACAGGUGCAACAUCCAGGAAUUCAGACAGGUGGGGGCCCCUGUCAAAUCUGGCAGAAGCCACUGGAAGGGGACUCCCCGUUGGACCAUAGAAGGGAGCUGGCAAGGCAGAGCCUGGUUCUGGGGAGGCUGGGUCGCCAGGCAGGUGAGCUUGCAACCUUCAGCUCACUCACCACCUCCCUGGCUCUGGGGGACUGAGCACCUCCUCGGCGCUCCUGAUGGACCUGAUUCCAGGAAGGCGGGCAGGCGUGGUUGGGCCCCUGGGCUCUGCUCUCCAUGUCCAUUCACCGGUUGGCUAGUGAGCUUCCGCUGGGCCUGGCUUACAUCUUGUUAGACUGCAGGGUCCUGAGAUGUCACAGGGAGCUGACACACGGCUGCAGUGGGUGAAUGAGUGAAGGAAGUGGAUGGAUUGGCAGGUGCAGAGAGACGGGCUGGGGACAAGUACCCUCCCCAAAGUAAAGGGUCAGCUCAAUGAAUGAUAACCAUUUGCCAGGAUCCAGGCACUUGCCUACCUCUCAUUCAGUCUCCCCAAGGACACCAAGGGUGUCCAUCGUUCCACCUGAAAGACGAUACGGCAGCUGCCUCGCCUAAAGCCACACAGUGAGCCACAAACCCUGGUAAUAACCCCUGGAGUGCCAGCUCCAAGGCCCCCUUUGGUUCCUUUGUCCCUCGAGGCACCAUCCAGCUAGUCAGAUGGGUCUUCCCCACCCUUGCUGUCACUGAUGUGGAGUAGCUGAGCCCCUGGCUGUGGAACUAGACAGUCUGGGUUCAAACCUUGCCCUAGCCACUUCCAGAGUUCAGAGCCUGGCCCUGUUAGGAGACCUUUGCGAGCCCACUUUGCUCAUCCAUAGAAUGGGAUUCAAAUGCAUCUGCCUCACAGAUUAAGUAAUGUAGGGUAAGGAAAGUGCCUGUUGUACAGCACGUGAUUAACACAGUUCUUCCAACAUUAAAGCCACAUCAUUUUGGUCCUCAUCAGCAACCUCCUUGUGUUCUCGACGGCCCGGCUCAAGCGAGGAGGGAGAAGAAAGGAUAAAUCAGAGACUGUUCCCUUACCGCUUAGUAAUGUCCAAAAUCUGUUCCAAGCACCAGUCCUUAAAAGCCUGAGCUCUUGCCCCAGCCACGGUGCUGCUCUCUGAAAAAUAAUGUGAGCCACAUACAUCAUUUUAUGUCUUCUAACAACCACAUUUAAAACACCGUAAAAGAAAAACAGAUAAAAUUCAUUUGUCAUUUUUAUAUUAUUUUAUAUUACAUUAUAACAUUUAACCCAAUCUAUCACAAAAUAAGAUCAUCGCAACAGAUAAUCAAUAUAAACAUUAUUAAUGAAUCGUUUUAUAUCCUUCUUUUUUAAUACUAAGUCACAGUCCAUCUUAAUUAGACUAAGCACAUCCAAGCUACUCAACGGCCACAUGUGGCUUGUGGCCACCAUAUUGGAGAGCACAGUUCUGGAGGCAUAAUCAACCUAUUUUCCACCAAGAUGGAAGUAUUGGAAUUCUAUCGCCACCUGAGAACCAGAUGUGGGUCUCUUGUGUCUAAGAGGCAGAAGGGAUGGUGUCAUCCAUGUAAACCAGCCCUGGCUGUGGCACAGACAGUGUCCUCUCCACCAGAGGCUGAAGGCUGGGUGGGGCUCUUCUGGAGAAGAGGGGCAGCCUGACCACGAUGCCAUUGACCUAGGACUAAAGUAGUGCCAACUGCUCGGUCCUCCCUCACUGUAGCCAAAACCACUGGAAGCCUCCAUAAGCUUAGUUCUUACUCUGUAGUCAACAGUAACUCCCCGUCAAGCUCUGCUCUGGUGGAGAAGGCUUUGGGACAUGGGUCCCUCGGGAAACUCCACAAAAGCCAAGUCAAGAAUGCUUUGGAACUUCAUGGGCUUGGGUGGCAAGAGCCAUGUUCCAAAACCACAGUUCUUAUCUCUCUGGGGGCCAGCUUGCUACAUGCACAUCACAGAACCCCAGGUCCCUGGGGUGCACAGGUCCCCCAAGACCUUCCUGGCUGAAUCCCCAGGGACCAGACCAGGGAGCCUGAAUGGGCAAAACCAUAGCAGGCAAAUGCCACCUGAGACUUAGCUCUGCCUCCCUGGGCUUGCAGAGGGAGGCUCGGCACCAAAGAAAAGCUCUCCUUUUGGCAUCAGGCAGCCCUGGGAUUGAAUCUUGGGCAUCCCACUGACCAGUUGCGUGACCUUGGGUAGCUUGGUUGGUCUGCAAGCUCCUCAUUUUCUGUACGCGGGAUGCUGUAGAUGGCACCAACAUUUCAAGGCAGGUCCUGGGAGUGAAAUGAGCUGCAGGUGAAAGGGCCCAGCACAGCAUCCAGCCCAUCGCACUCAUUCACUACAGGAUGCCUGGUGCUUUGCAAGCAUCAGAGAGACCAUGGAGCAUGGCAUUAACACUCAAAUGCGACAUUCAGACUGAGUUCAAAUCCCCAUUCCACCAUUCAUAGCUAUGACGCUUGGGACAAACCACUCAACCUCUCAGAGUCUCCAUUUCUGCUUCAGUAGAGCGGGAAGAGGGUACCUAUCCACAAGGGGAUGAGCCAACAUACAUAAAUGUGCUCGUAAUGUUGGCUGGCUCCUGAUAAGAACCACGUGUCUGGUAAUAGCACGUCAUCACUGUGGUCAUGAAAUGGAAUGGUGGCUCACUGGGCUCUAGUGUUCAUUCUAGACAGCAAGGACUGAGACCUGGAGAAGCUGGGUGGUCGGGCCCAGGGUCACAGCUAGUUAGUGAGUGGAACCGUACAGAUUUGGGCCCCAGUCUCGUGAUGCCUGGACCACAUCUAUUCUCAGAGUCGCACAUGAAUUACAAAGCGUUGCUAUUCCAGUGACAUCACAGGCGCAAAAACAUCUGUAGGCACAGCAACCCCACUUCUUUGAACCUGGGGAUACAUGCAACACCCCCCUUUCCUUCCUCAGAAUUGUGUGUUAUUAUUGUGUUCUUACAUGGACUGAAUCCAGUGAAGUCCAAUCAAGGUAUAAAUUUACUUUUUUCCCACCAAUGUCUUUCAACUCUGCUGGACUAGAGCUCCCUGGCCCAACCCUGGAUAACAGUGUGGAUGCAUCCCCAGGUUUUUCUAGGCAUUUUAGGUACUGGAAUGACCACCCCUUAGUAUGUAUGAUGUUUUUAAUGCAGAUGUUUAAAGGUCCCCUAUAGAAAUGGGUGCCCCCAACCCUGAAUUGAUGCAGCCCCCUUGCUGGGAUGCAAAUAUUAGAUAACAGAGCUAAGCAUGGGUUUAAGCAUCUACUAGUCCAUUUGGCCAGAUACCUUUGUGCACUGUGCAAUCUGUACAACUGUACUUGGUGACCCUAAGAGCAGUCUCACUCCAGGCACUUAAAAGAUCAAUCCAAUUUCAAACUUUCCUUUGUCAUUCACUUUGACCUUUGUUCUUUCCCUAAUUUAUAGCCAGACCAUGAAUUCAGCUUCCCAUAAAGGAGUGGGAAGCAUGGUCUGUGAUUUCUCUCAGUAGCUACUUCUCAGGCUCCUCCAGGGCUGGGUGGGGAUUGGAGAUAGCCUUAAAGGAUAAAUCUUUAUUUGACUGGGGCCGCUGUGAUGUGGCCAUAAUUGGAGACCAUUUGUCACUGCAGUAUGACCAGGGCUGGCCUGACUAACUCAGUCUCCUGAUGACCUUUAUUGCUCCCUCUGAGCCCUUCACAGCCUUGGUCCACUGGGCUUGGCUGGCUCAGGUGGUCAGCUCUUUGGGAUUGGGUCUUUGCAAGACACUUCUCAAGACUCUAGGUAACUUGACCCCCUACCCCAAGUUCUGGAAAUGGGGGCUUCCCUCCUUCUCUUCGUGCUCACUGGCCGCCCAGCCAGCCUCCCCCUCCGUGUUUCACCAGCUGAGAGUGGGCUCGGCAAAGUCCAGGACUCAGGUGCGAUCCUCCCAAGCGUCGUCUUGGUACCAGAGGCUCUGGUGCCAGCAGCCCCAGGGGCCAGUAUGGCUGUAGGGCACAGGAAUGGGGCUCUUACAGACAGCCAUGCCCCCCACCCACACAGCAGUUCUCAUGAAGCCUCCCUCCCUUGGAUUCUACA